UGGUAAUUAACUUCAAAUGGGAAAUUGACAUGAAUUUACAUCACAAGGUUCCGAUGUAAAAUUGACAUGAACAUGCUCUAGAAUGUCAAAUUCUCCACACAGUGUCACAGAGCCUAACAUUAAUUUAGGUGCAUUAUUCAGCAAAAUCACUCUCUUUUUCCCACUAAUUGCCAAAUACAUACAUUGAAAGGGAUUAAUAACAACUAUUUUUCACUAAUAUCGCAGACUAUAUAAAGCCAGUUGACAAUUAUUUGCUUUAUGAUGUAUGAUA
rnacentral:lncRNA from 1 species